UACGAAGGGGGCUAGCGUUGCUCGGAAUUACUGGGCGUAAAGGGAGCGUAGGCGGACAUUUAAGUCAGAGGUGAAAUCCCGGAGCUUAACUUCGGAACUGCCUUUGAUACUGGGUGUCUUGAGUGUGAGAGAGGUAUGUGGAACUCCGAGUGUAGAGGUGAAAUUCGUAGAUAUUCGGAAGAACACCAGUGGCGAAGGCGACAUACUGGCUCAUUACUGACGCUGGAGGCUCGAAAGCGUUGGGGAGCAAACAGG
rnacentral:rRNA from 1 species